UUAAGCGACUAAGCGUACACGGUGGAUGCCCUGGCAGUCAGAGGCGAUGAAGGACGUGCUAAUCUGCGAUAAGCGUCGGUGAGGUGAUAUGAACCGUUAUAACCGGCGAUUUCCGAAUGGGGAAACCCAGUGUGUUUCGACACACUAUCAUUAACUGAAUCCAUAGGUUAAUGAGGCGAACCGGGGGAACUGAAACAUCUAAGUACCCCGAGGAAAAGAAAUCAACCGAGAUUCCCCCAGUAGCGGCGAGCGAACGGGGAGGAGCCCAGAGCCUGAAUCAGUGUGUGUGUUAGUGGAAGCGUCUGGAAAGGCGCGCGAUACAGGGUGACAGCCCCGUACACAAAAAUGCACAUACUGUGAGCUCGAUGAGUAGGGCGGGACACGUGGUAUCCUGUCUGAAUAUGGGGGGACCAUCCUCCAAGGCUAAAUACUCCUGACUGACCGAUAGUGAACCAGUACCGUGAGGGAAAGGCGAAAAGAACCCCGGCGAGGGGAGUGAAAAAGAACCUGAAACCGUGUACGUACAAGCAGUGGGAGCCUCUUAAUGGGGUGACUGCGUACCUUUUGUAUAAUGGGUCAGCGACUUAUAUUCUGUAGCAAGGUUAACCGAAUAGGGGAGCCGAAGGGAAACCGAGUCUUAACUGGGCGUUAAGUUGCAGGGUAUAGACCCGAAACCCGGUGAUCUAGCCAUGGGCAGGUUGAAGGUUGGGUAACACUAACUGGAGGACCGAACCGACUAAUGUUGAAAAAUUAGCGGAUGACUUGUGGCUGGGGGUGAAAGGCCAAUCAAACCGGGAGAUAGCUGGUUCUCCCCGAAAGCUAUUUAGGUAGCGCCUCGUGAAUUCAUCUCCGGGGGUAGAGCACUGUUUCGGCAAGGGGGUCAUCCCGACUUACCAACCCGAUGCAAACUGCGAAUACCGGAGAAUGUUAUCACGGGAGACACACGGCGGGUGCUAACGUCCGUCGUGAAGAGGGAAACAACCCAGACCGCCAGCUAAGGUCCCAAAGUCAUGGUUAAGUGGGAAACGAUGUGGGAAGGCCCAGACAGCCAGGAUGUUGGCUUAGAAGCAGCCAUCAUUUAAAGAAAGCGUAAUAGCUCACUGGUCGAGUCGGCCUGCGCGGAAGAUGUAACGGGGCUAAACCAUGCACCGAAGCUGCGGCAGCGACGCUUAUGCGUUGUUGGGUAGGGGAGCGUUCUGUAAGCCUGUGAAGGUGUGCUGUGAGGCAUGCUGGAGGUAUCAGAAGUGCGAAUGCUGACAUAAGUAACGAUAAAGCGGGUGAAAAGCCCGCUCGCCGGAAGACCAAGGGUUCCUGUCCAACGUUAAUCGGGGCAGGGUGAGUCGACCCCUAAGGCGAGGCCGAAAGGCGUAGUCGAUGGGAAACAGGUUAAUAUUCCUGUACUUGGUGUUACUGCGAAGGGGGGACGGAGAAGGCUAUGUUGGCCGGGCGACGGUUGUCCCGGUUUAAGCGUGUAGGCUGGUUUUCCAGGCAAAUCCGGAAAACCAAGGCUGAGGCGUGAUGACGAGGCACUACGGUGCUGAAGCGACAAAUGCCCUGCUUCCAGGAAAAGCCUCUAAGCAUCAGGUAACAUCAAAUCGUACCCCAAACCGACACAGGUGGUCAGGUAGAGAAUACCAAGGCGCUUGAGAGAACUCGGGUGAAGGAACUAGGCAAAAUGGUGCCGUAACUUCGGGAGAAGGCACGCUGAUAUGUAGGUGAAGCGACUUGCUCGUGGAGCUGAAAUCAGUCGAAGAUACCAGCUGGCUGCAACUGUUUAUUAAAAACACAGCACUGUGCAAACACGAAAGUGGACGUAUACGGUGUGACGCCUGCCCGGUGCCGGAAGGUUAAUUGAUGGGGUUAGCGGUAACGCGAAGCUCUUGAUCGAAGCCCCGGUAAACGGCGGCCGUAACUAUAACGGUCCUAAGGUAGCGAAAUUCCUUGUCGGGUAAGUUCCGACCUGCACGAAUGGCGUAAUGAUGGCCAGGCUGUCUCCACCCGAGACUCAGUGAAAUUGAACUCGCUGUGAAGAUGCAGUGUACCCGCGGCAAGACGGAAAGACCCCGUGAACCUUUACUAUAGCUUGACACUGAACAUUGAGCCUUGAUGUGUAGGAUAGGUGGGAGGCUUUGAAGUGUGGACGCCAGUCUGCAUGGAGCCGGCCUUGAAAUACCACCCUUUAAUGUUUGAUGUUCUAACGUUGGCCCGUAAUCCGGGUUGCGGACAGUGUCUGGUGGGUAGUUUGACUGGGGCGGUCUCCUCCUAAAGAGUAACGGAGGAGCACGAAGGUUGGCUAAUCCUGGUCGGACAUCAGGAGGUUAGUGCAAUGGCAUAAGCCAGCUUGACUGCGAGCGUGACGGCGCGAGCAGGUGCGAAAGCAGGUCAUAGUGAUCCGGUGGUUCUGAAUGGAAGGGCCAUCGCUCAACGGAUAAAAGGUACUCCGGGGAUAACAGGCUGAUACCGCCCAAGAGUUCAUAUCGACGGCGGGGUUUGGCACCUCGAUGUCGGCUCAUCACAUCCUGGGGCUGAAGUAGGUCCCAAGGGUAUGGCUGUUCGCCAUUUAAAGUGGUACGCGAGCUGGGUUUAGAACGUCGUGAGACAGUUCGGUCCCUAUCUGCCGUGGGCGCUGGAGAACUGAGGGGGGCUGCUCCUAGUACGAGAGGACCGGAGUGGACGCAUCACUGGUGUUCGGGUUGUCAUGCCAAUGGCACUGCCCGGUAGCUAAAUGCGGAAGAGAUAAGUGCUGAAAGCAUCUAAGCACGAAACUUGCCCCGAGAUGAGUUCUCCCUGAGACUUAGAGUCUCCUGAAGGAACGUUGAAGACGACGACGUUGAUAGGCCGGGUGUGUAAGCGCAGCGAUGCGUUGAGCUAACCGGUACUAAUGAACCGUGAGGCUUAACCUU
rnacentral:rRNA from 1 species